rnacentral:lncRNA from 1 species
CAGCGAGGGCGGGAAGAGACCCAGACCGAGGGGAACUGCCAAGCAGUUCUUGGGGCUCCAGACAAAGAGGACAGAGGGUCCCUGCUGCAGAAGGGAGUACACAGACCUCCAGCCCUGGUGAGCAGACUUCCUCACUUUGCUCACGCCUCCUCCACUACCAGAAACUAAAACUUGGCCGAGGACAGGUCCCAGUUCAACCAGAUGCCCAGAGAAAACAGCUGUAUUUAGCGGAAAAAGAAAUCCAUGCCAGCUGUUUACACAAACUAAACAAAAGACAGGAAUGA